UGCCAGCCGCCGCGGUAAUACGUAGGGUCCUAGCGUUGUUCGGAAUUACUGGGCGUAAAGCGAGUGUAGGCGGCUAGGAAAGUCAGAUGUGAAAGCCCGGGGCUCAACCUCGGAACUGCAUUUGAAACUUCUUAGCUUGAAUAUGAGAGGGGUAGUAGAAUUCCUGGUGUAGUGGUGAAAUACGUAGAUAUCAGGAGGAAUACCAGUGGCGAAGGCGACUGACUGGCUCAAUAUUGACGCUGAGACUCGAAAGCGUGGGGAGCAAACAGGAUUAGAUA
rnacentral:rRNA from 1 species